CAGUUGAUUAAAAUAACUUAGAGAGAAGUAUAUAAUAUAAUCUUGUAAUAAAUAAUUUUAUCAAGGUGAAAUUUGGAAAAUGUUUUUAAAAAUAUUAUAGAUAGUAAUCACAUAAAGUGAAAUAAUAAAAUAGACAAUAAGAAAGAAAAGCUAAUAGAUUUGGCAGUUUAAAUAUCCUUUUAGGGGAAUCUAUCCUUUCAUGGAGUUUACACCUUAAAAUUUACUUAUUUUAGGAGUCUUGUAUACCUCUGUUUUAAAAUAUUGAAUGAUCGUUAGAAUAUGGAUAUAAUAAUGCAGGUCAAGGUGCAGAUGAUGAGUAAGGUUGAGAUGGAUUACAAUAAAUAGAUUUAUGAUGGAAUAAGUUUUGAGAGAUUUUGUGAAGGUGGACUUAAGAGUAAAAUAAGAUUAAUAAGUUUAAUUGAGUGGGAACUUUUAU
rnacentral:rRNA from 1 species